rnacentral:lncRNA from 1 species
AAUUGGAUGAAUUGAAAUUGAAAACUGGUAAGAUUUUUGAAAUCAUCUCAUAAAAAAUUUUUUAAAUCAGAUAUAAUUAUCCUCUUACUUAUGUAUUGACAAAUAUGAAACCAACUAUCUGUUUAUAUACCAACUUUAUCUGUUUAUUUCAUUAUUUAAGAAAAAAGUUUUUUUUUUCAACCUCAUAUUAUUUGUCCAGUUUGUCAACCUUACAUCUCAUCAUCUCAGGAAUUAAAUUUAGAUCUUCCAGGAUGGAAGAACAACAAGCUUCCAUUGCAGCCAUCCAUUUGACAUAUUCUCUACGUUGUAAAUUAACACUUUAAUAUGCAGUGAACCAUUAGACAAAUAUUGAUGUUUACUUUACUAUGAAAAAAUUAUGAAAUGGCU